rnacentral:rRNA from 1 species
GACGAACGCUGGCGGCGUGCCUAAUACAUGCAAGUAGGACGCAGUUGCGAACGGGUGAGUAACGCGUAGGUAACUACCUAUUAGAGGGGGAUAACUAUUGGAAACGAUAGCUAAUACCGCAUACUAGUAGAUGGACCUGCGUUGGAUUAGCUAGUAGGUAGGGUAAUGGCCUACCUAGGCAACGGUACAUAGCCGAGCUGAGAAGGUGGUCGGCCAAACUGGGACUGAGAAACGGCCCAGACUCCUACGGGAGGCAGCCAUAGGGGAUCUUCGGCAAUGGGGGGAACCCUGACCGAGCAACGCCGGGGGAGUGAAGAAGGUUUUCGGGUCGUAAAGCUAUGUUGUUAAGGAAGCGGUACCGGAAUAGAAAGCCACGGCUAACUACGUGCCAGCAGCCGCGGUAAUAC